rnacentral:tRNA from 1 species
GACUCGGUAGCUAAAUGGAUAACGCGAUGGCGUUUAGAGCGAAAGGUACUGGGUUCGAGUCCAAGAGCGGAC